GUGGGGAAUUUUGCGCAAUGGACGAAAGUCUGACGCAGCAACGCCGCGUGGAGGAUGAAGGCCUUCGGGUCGUAAACUCCUGUCAGGGGGGACGAAAAAAAUGACUGUACCCCUUGAGGAAGCCACGGCUAACUCCGUGCCAGCAGCCGCGGUAAUACGGAGGUGGCAAGCGUUGUUCGGAAUUACUGGGCGUAAAGGGCGCGUAGGCGGCUUGGCAAGUCAGAUGUGAAAGCCCCGGGCUUAACCCGGGAAUUGCAUCUGAAACUGCUUUGCUUGAGUCCUGGAGGGGGUAGUGGAAUUCCCAGUGUAGCGGUGAAAUGCGUAGAUAUUGGGAGGAACACCUGCGGCGAAGGCGGCUACCUGGACAGUGACUGACGCUGAUGCGCGAAAGCUAGGGGAGCAAACGGGAUUAGAAACCCCUGUAGUCC
rnacentral:rRNA from 1 species